UACGUAGGGGGCAAGCGUUGUCCGGAAUCAUUGGGCGUAAAGAGCGUGUAGGCGGCCCGGUAAGUCCGCUGUGAAAGUCCAGGGCUCAACCCUGGGAUGCCGGUGGAUACUGUCGGGCUCGAGUCCGGAAGAGGAGUGUGGAAUUCCUGGUGUAGCGGUGAAAUGCGCAGAUAUCGAGGAGGAACACCAAUGGCGAAGGCAGCACUCUGGGACGUGACUGACGGCUGAGACGCGAAAGCGUGGGGAGCAAAACAGG
rnacentral:rRNA from 1 species